rnacentral:ncRNA from 1 species
CAAAAUAGGAUUCCAUGCGUUAAGUGUUCCGUGGAUGGGGAGUUGCCGCAGAAACGAAAAGUCAGUGUCAGAGCACUAGGCUUACGAUAUGGGAUUCGCACCCGUUG